rnacentral:misc_RNA from 1 species
GAUGAAGAACGCAGCGAAAUGCGAUAAGUAAUGUGAAUUGCUGAAUUCAGUGAAUCAUCGAAUCUUUGAACGCACAUUGCGCCCCCUGGUAUUCCGGGGGGCAUGCCUGUUCGAGCGUCAUUUCACCACUCAAGCCUCGCUUGGUAUUGGGCAACGCGGUCCGCCGCGUGCCUCAAAUCGUCCGGCUGGGUCUUCUGUCCCCUAAGCGUUGUGGAAACUAUUCGCUAAAGGGUGUUCGGGAGGCUACGCCGUAAAACAACCCCAUUUCUAAGGUUGACCUCGGAUCAGGUAGGGAUACCCGCUGAACUUAAGCAUAUCAAUAAGCGGAGGA